rnacentral:rRNA from 1 species
GUGGAUUAGAUACCCUGGUAGUCCUAGCUGUAAACGAUGAUCACUGGGUGUGGGGGGUCGAACCUCCGUGCCGAAGUUAAUGCGAUAAGUGAUCCGCCUGGGGAGUACGUUCGCAAGAAUGAAACUCAAAGGAAUUGACGGGGACCCGCACAAGCGGUGGAGCAUGUGGUUUAAUUCGACGCAACGCGAGGAACCUUACCAGUUCUUGACAUCCUACAAACUUUCUGGAGACAGAUUGGUGCCCUUUCGGGGGAAUGUAGUGACAGGUGGUGCACGGCCGUCGCCAACU